GUGGGAGUGUAUCGGGCCCCACGCAUAACGGAAAUCUUUAUUUAGUGAUAUCGAGUACGCGAUUCCCCCUCUGUCACACGAGCGGACUACCUGUCGCGCCGACGAGGGGACCGCCAAUUCAAAUGAAGCGAAGAAUAUCGGGCGAAUUCAUUUUUGUAUCACGUUCUACGCGAUGCGGAAUAAUCAGCGGAUGCCGUAGACUUGACAACACUGGUGUACAACGAUAACAACAGAGAGCUCCGCCUCGUUCGGUUGCUCGAGUCGGAAUAUUUUGUGCGACAAUAGUUACUUGUAUUUAUUGUAGAAAUUUGGGGUAGCUUAGUUAUUAAUUCUUUUAAAUACCGUCAUAAGCAUUUGUUGCGUAACAUUUACGAAACAGUUAACUUUAACUAUUUUUAGUUAACUAAAUAAUGGCAUUGCGCCGACAUAUACAAUAUACAUAAAUACAAUGAUAAAUAAAUAACAAGUAUGUUAUUAAAGGAA